GGGUCAUGUCCAGAUGGUAAGUAUUCCCGCCUGUCACGCGGGUGACCCGGGUUCGAUCCCCGGCAACGGCGCCA
rnacentral:tRNA from 1 species